rnacentral:rRNA from 1 species
UUGGAGGGCAAGUCUGGUGCCAGCAGCCGCGGUAAUUCCAGCUCCAAUAGCGUAUAUUAAAGUUGUUGCAGUUAAAAAGCUCGUAGUUGAAUUUCGGGAUCAGAGUGUCGGUCGUGCCUCGGUACGCACUGGUAUUAUUGGUUCCUACCUUCUGAAGAACCGCGAUGUCAUUAAUUUGGUGUCGCGGGGAAUCAGGACUGUUACUUUGAAAAAAUUAGAGUGUUUAAAGCAGGCUUACGCUUGAAUACAUUACCAUGGAAUAAUGAAAUAGGACGUUUGAUUCUAUUUUGUUGGUUUCUAGGAUUGACGUAAUGAUUAAUAGGGAUAGUUGGGGGCAUUAGUAUUCAAUUGUCAGAGGUGAAAUUCUUGGAUGUAUUGAAGACUAACUACUGCGAAAGCAUUUGCCAAGGAUGUUCUCAUUAAUCAAGAACGAAAGUUAGGGGAUCGAAGACGAUCAUAUACCGUCGUAGUCUUAACCAUAGACUAUGCCGACUAGGGAUCGGAUGAUGUUAAUUUUUUAAUGACUCAUUCGGCGCCUUACGGGAAACCAAAGUGUUUGGGUUC